GCCCUGAUGGCGAAGUGGUUAAGCAUUUGGCUGCUAACCAAAAGAUCAGUGGUUCAAACCCACCAGCGGCU
rnacentral:tRNA from 1 species